GUCAAGAAAAGAAAGCUAAUGAUGUUAGAAAGAGUAACAAAAUCCUCCCGUAUCUUUGAUAUAUACAAAAAAAAAAGGAAAGGUUUUUAUCAACAAAAAGAAGAGAGGGACGCUGUUGUCGAACCCGGCAACUGUAGGAGGAAAAACAAGGCUCCUAGGUCACUAGACUAAGGCGAAACUUCUGAUAAAUGGUGUCCUUAAAGUUUUUAUAUUUUUUGGUGGCCAAAGUCCUUGCUUUAUGGGAUUUAGUCCAGGACCGGCCCAGGCUCUCCUUCUCAUAUCAUAUUUUAUAAAAGUUUAAAAUUACAAUCGAUGUUUACUGGCCAGGUUUCGAUGGCGAGCUCGAUUGACUUGAAGAGGAAGCGUCCAAUGGAAGAGGAUUAUAGAUCAAGUC
rnacentral:lncRNA from 1 species